UACGAAGGGGGCUAGCGUUGUUCGGAAUUACUGGGCGUAAAGCGCACGUAGGCGGAUAUUUAAGUCAGGGGUGAAAUCCCGGGGCUCAACCCCGGAACUGCCUUUGAUACUGGGUAUCUCGAGUCCGAGAGAGGUGAGUGGAAUUCCGAGUGUAGAGGUGAAAUUCGUAGAUAUUCGCAAGAACACCAGUGGCGAAGGCGGCUCACUGGCCCGGUACUGACGCUGAGGCACGAAAGCGUGGGAGCAAACAGG
rnacentral:rRNA from 1 species